CAGUCGCCGCGGUAAUACAGAGGGUGCGAGCGUUAAUCGGAUUUACUGGGCGUAAAGCGUGCGUAGGUGGUGGUUUAAGUCCGUUGUGAAAGCCCUGGGCUCAACCUGGGAAUUGCAGUGGAUACUGGGUCACUAGAGUGUGGUAGAGGAUAGUGGAAUUUCCGGUGUAGCAGUGAAAUGCGUAGAGAUCGGAAGGAACAUCUGUGGCGAAGGCGACUAUCUGGGCCAACACUGACACUGAGGCACGAAAGCGUGGGGAGCAAACAGGAUUAGAUACCCGGGUAGUCCCUGUCUCUUAUAA
rnacentral:rRNA from 1 species